UACGUAGGGUGCGAGCGUUGUCCGGAAUUAUUGGGCGUAAAGAGCUCGUAGGCGGUUUGUCGCGUCUGCUGUGAAAACCUAAGGCUCAACCUCGGGCUUGCAGUGGGUACGGGCAGACUAGAGUGCGGUAGGGGUGACUGGAAUUCCUGGUGUAGCGGUGGAAUGCGCAGAUAUCAGGAGGAACACCGAUGGCGAAGGCAGGUCACUGGGCCGCAACUGACGCUGAGGAGCGAAAGCAUGGGGAGCGAACAGG
rnacentral:rRNA from 1 species